rnacentral:rRNA from 1 species
GACGAACGCUGGCGGCGCGCCUAACACAUGCAAGUCGAACGAGAGAUGAGGAGCUUGCUCUUCAAAUCGAGUGGCGAACGGGUGAGUAACGCGUGAGGAGCCUGCCUCAAAGAGGGGGACAACAGUUGGAAACGACUGCUAAUACCGCAUAAGCCCACGGCUCGGCAUCGAGCAGAGGGAAAAGGAGCAAUCCGCUUUGAGAUGGCCUCGCGUCCGAUUAGCUAGUUGGUGAGGUAACGGCCCACCAAGGCGACGAUCGGUAGCCGGACUGAGAGGUUGAACGGCCACAUUGGGACUGAGACACGGCCCAGACUCCUACGGGAGGCAGCAGUGGGGAAUAUUGCACAAUGGGGGAAACCCUGAUGCAGCGACGCCGCGUGGAGGAAGAAGGUCUUCGGAUUGUAAACUCCUGUUGUUGAGGAAGAUAAUGACGGUACUCAACAAGGAAGUGACGGCUAACUACGUGCCAGCAGCCGCGGUAAAACGUAGGUCACAAGCGUUGUCCGGAAUUACUGGGUGUAAAGGGAGCGCAGGCGGGAGAACAAGUUGGAAGUGAAAUCCAUGGGCUCAACCCAUGAACUGCUUUCAAAACUGUUUUCUUGAGUAGUGCAGAGGUAGGCGGAAUUCCCGGUGUAGCGGUGGAAUGCGUAGAUAUCGGGAGGAACACCAGUGGCGAAGGCGGCCUACUGGGCACCAACUGACGCUGAGGCUCGAAAGUGUGGGUAGCAAACAGGAUUAGAUACCCUGGUAGUCCACACCGUAAACGAUGAUUACUAGGUGUUGGAGGAUUGACCCCUUCAGUGCCGCAGUUAACACAAUAAGUAAUCCACCUGGGGAGUACGACCGCAAGGUUGAAACUCAAAGGAAUUGACGGGGGCCCGCACAAGCAGUGGAGUAUGUGGUUUAAUUCGACGCAACGCGAAGAACCUUACCAAGUCUUGACAUCCCUUGACGAUGCUGGAAACAGUAUUUCUCUUCGGAGCAAGGAGACAGGUGGUGCAUGGUUGUCGUCAGCUCGUGUCGUGAGAUGUUGGGUUAAGUCCCGCAACGAGCGCAACCCUUAUGGUCAGUUACUACGCAAGAGGACUCUGGCCAGACUGCCGUUGACAAAACGGAGGAAGGUGGGGAUGACGUCAAAUCAUCAUGCCCCUUAUGAUUUGGGCUACACACGUGCUACAAUGGCGUAAACAAAGAGAUGCGAGACCGCGAGGUUAAGCAGAGCUCAAAAAUAACGUCUCAGUUCGGAUUGUAGUCUGCAACUCGACUACAUGAAGCUGGAAUCGCUAGUAAUCGCAGAUCAGAAUGCUGCGGUGAAUACGUUCCCGGGUCU